rnacentral:rRNA from 1 species
AUACGUAGGGGGCGAGCGUUGUCCGGAAUUACUGGGCGUAAAGGGUGCGUAGGCGGCCCUUUAAGUCGGAUGUGAAAGCCCGCGGCUUAACCGCGGAAUGGCAUUCGAAACUGGAGGGCUUGAGUGUCGGAGAGGGUAGUGGAAUUCCCAGUGUAGCGGUGAAAUGCGUAGAUAUUGGGAGGAACACCAGUGGCGAAGGCGACUACCUGGACGAUAACUGACGCUGAGGCACGAAAGCUAGGGGAGCAAACAGGAUUAGAUACCCUGGUAGUCCUAGCCGUAAACGAUGGGUACUAGGUGUGGGUGGUUUCGAUACCAUCCGUGCCGUAGUUAACGCAAUAAGUACCCCGCCUGGGGAGUACGGCCGCAAGGUUGAA